UUGGCGGGAUGAGCACUGGAUGUUAUGCUACGUGUUGGCAAAUUGAACUCCAAUAAAAAAAAUUUUUUUAAAAUGAUGGAAUGAGUGAAGGCCAAGGGAGUAUUGCAAAAGUGUUAAAAGUGGGGGCCUCGUGUCUAAGGCGUUCCCAGGCAGCACGUGUGAAGAAGACUCUGGGUAUUCCUUUUUCUUUUUCUUUUUUUUUUUUUCUUUCUUCUUUCUUUUUGUUCCUGUUGUUUGUUUUUUUGUUUCUCUCACUUCCCUUUUGCCUGAUAAUGUAUGAGAAGUAUCAAAAAUAAUUAAGAAAUUAAAUGAAACAUAAAUAGUUGCUUUGCUCCCACAUGCUCGCAAAGGAAAGUUAGGGCAAAUAAUUGUUACUGUUAAAUUGGAUGGAAUUCUUUUUGAACAGUGCCUUCAAAAGAUGAAGGACAAGUCAAGCAGAGGUCACAGUAGAGAAAGUCUCACAUGUGACAUGGCUUAUCAAAUUGAUUUAAAAUACUGGCAGAGAAGCAACGUGAAAGACAUCUGGUAGCUUAAUUCAUUUAUAAGCAUGGGAGGGAGGACCACACUCCCUGAAUCCUAGACUAUGCAAUGUUCAUUUGUCCUGGAUCUCUUCCUACGGCAUCAGUACUCUCCAUUGCUCCAUUGGUGAAUGAUCUUAGACCCACAAAUUCUCACUGCCUUGGUGGCUCCUCCAUGCCUUCAUGUUUUUAUAUUUUGUCCAGUUAUUCUCAGUGGUGGGAGGAUUUGUUCGACAACAGUAGGCCAUUGCUGAAGCAUAAUCCUUAUAUAUGUGUUAUUUUUACAAAAAUGUUAUCAUACAACACAAUGUGUUUUAUUAGUGAAUAUCUCUCUGACCUUGUCUUUCUGUAGUUUGAGAAAUUUUAAAAUUGUGCAAUAGUUUUGCUGUUACAAAGAAUGCUGCUAUGAACUUUUUUGCACACGUUUUCGUGUAUACAGGGAAACUGCUAGAUCCUAGGAUAUUGCAUCUUUAAUUUCACUAGCUGUGGUAUGCAGAAUUUUAAGAUGGUCCCCAUGAUCUUUGCCCCCUGGACUUGCCAUAUUGAUCCCUACACCUCAAAUGUGAGUGGGACCUUUGACUUAAUUCUAGCCAAUAAACUGUGGCAAAGGUAAUGGGAUGUCAGUCCCAUGAUUAUAUUUGUCUUAGUCGACUGGAGCUAGGCAUGCUCCUGCUGGGCUUGAAGAAGUGAGCCAUCAUACAGUGAACUGCCUAAGGAGAGGGGCACCUGGCAGGGAACCACUGAUGGCUUCUAGAACCUGAAUGCCUCCAGCUGACAGCCAGUAAGAAACCAGGGCCCUCAGUCCUACAACCAUGAGAAAAUAAAUUCUACCAACAACCAGGGACAGCUUGGGAGGUGACUCUUCCCCAGUCAAGCCACCAGAUGAGAAGAGAAGCUGACUUAUACCUUGAUUGCAGCUCUGUGAGACCCUGAGCCAAUGAACCAGUCAAGCUGUACCUAGACUCCUGGACUACAGAAACCGUGAGAUAAUAUGUUUUAAGCUCCUAGGUUUCUAGUAAUUUGUUACACAACAUUAGUGAACUAGAUAUUGCUAAAUGAUUUCACAAAUUGGUUGUACCAAUUUAUACUCCACAUGCAAUAUAUAAGAUUCUUUUUUGUAAACAUCCUUGCUAACGUUUGGGAAUGUCUGACUUUAAAAAAAACUGCCAAUCUGAUAGUUGUGAAAAUAAAUAAUAAUUAUACACAUAUGUUAUUACUUAAAUUUAAAAAAUGUAUUUACUGGAAAUUA